AUAAUUACCUGGCAGGGAAGAUACUGCAAUCAUGAAGGUGGUUUUCCCAGAGCAAGGUUUAUCCAUUGCACUCUGGAUGUCCUGAUUGACCCCUGCAAUUUCCCCAAAUGAGGGAAACUUGACUGUAUAAUGUGUGGUAGUGGGGGACUGUGUUCAUUCGUGUUCUGC